rnacentral:rRNA from 1 species
GUUGUAUGGUUAAGUGACUAAGCGUACAGGGCGGAUGCCUUGGCAAUCAGAGGCGAAGAAGGACGUGCUAAUCUGCGAAAAGCUUGGAUGAGUCGAUAAGAGGCGUUUAAUCCAAGAUGUCCGAAUGGGGAAACCCGAUGGAUGAAGAAUCCAUCAUUUCAUUGUGAAUACAUAGCAAUGAAAGGCGAACCGGGAGAACUGAAACAUCUAAGUACCCCGAGGAAAAGAAAUCAACCGAGAUUCUGUGAGUAGCGGCGAGCGAAAGCGGAAGAGCCAGUAAGUUUUAGCUAGUGUAUUAGAGGAAUUGGCUGGGAAGCCAAAUCAAAGAGGGUGAUAAUCCCGUACUCGAAAAUACGAUAGUGGAACUAAGCUUACGAUAAGUAGGGCGGGACACGAGAAAUCCUGUUUGAAGAUGGGGGACCAUCCUCCAAGGCUAAAUACUCCUGAUUGACCGAUAGUGAACCAGUACUGUGAAGGAAAGGCGAAAAGAACCCCGGUGAGGGGAGUGAAAUAGAACCUGAAACCCUGUACGUACAAGCAGUAGGAGCGAGGGAAACCUUGUGACUGCGUACCUUUUGUAUAAUGGGUCAGCGACUUAUAUUUUGUAGCGAGGUUAACUGAAUAAGGGAGCCGAAGGGAAACCGAGUCUUAACUGGGCGUUGAGUUGCAAGGUAUAGACCCGAAACCCGGUGAUCUAGCCAUGGGCAGGUUGAAGGUUGGGUAACACUAACUGGAGGACCGAACCGACUAAUGUUGAAAAAUUAGCGGAUGACUUGUGGCUGGGGGUGAAAGGCCAAUCAAACCGGGAGAUAGCUGGUUCUCCCCGAAAUCUAUUUAGGUAGAGCCUUGAGCGGACACCUUCGGGGUAGAGCACUGUUUCGGCUAGGGGUCCAUCCCGGAUUACCAACCCGAUGCAAACUGCGAAUACCGAAGAGUGAUACUCAGGAGACACACGGCGGGUGCUAACGUUCGUCGUGGAGAGGGAAACAACCCAGACCGCCAGCUAAGGUCCCAAAGUCUAUAUUAAGUGGGAAACGAAGUGGGAAGGCUUAGACAGCUAGGAUGUUGGCUUAGAAGCAGCCAUCAUUUAAAGAAAGCGUAAUAGCUCACUAGUCGAGUCGGCCUGCGCGGAAGAUGUAACGGGGCUCAAAUAUAGCACCGAAGCUGCGGCAUCAGGCGUAUCACUAAUACGCCUUACGAUUAACAACAUCGCCUGAAACGAAGUGAAAUGGGAUGUUGGUCAAGCGUUCCAAACGUUGAGGCGGUUGGAGGGUAAUCGAAGAGAGGAUUAUUAGUGAUACGUCUGUUGGGUAGGGGAGCGUUGUGUAAGCGGAAGAAGGUGGCUCGAGAGGGUUGCUGGACGUAUCACAAGUGCGAAUGCUGACAUAAGUAACGAUAAAACGAGUGAAAAACUCGUUCGCCGGAAGACCAAGGGUUCCUGUCCAACGUUAAUCGGGGCAGGGUGAGUCGGCCCCUAAGGCGAGGCUGAAAAGCGUAGUCGAUGGGAAACGGGUUAAUAUUCCCGUACUUGGUAAAGCUGCGAUGUGGGGACGGAGAAGGUUAGGUAAGCGGACUGUUGGAAAUGUCCGUUUAAGUUGGUAGUUGGGAGCGGUAGGCAAAUCCGCUGCUCCAUUCAACAACGAGAGAUGAUGACGAGUUCCUAAGGGAAUGAAGUUACCGAUACCCGGCUUCCAGGAAAAGCCACUAAGCGAAAGGCUUUAUUAAACCGUACUGAAAACCGACACAGGUGGUCAGGUAGAGAAUACUCAGGCGCUUGAGAGAACUCGGGUGAAGGAACUAGGCAAAAUAGCACCGUAACUUCGGGAGAAGGUGCGCUUACAGUAAUUGUAGUCCCUUGCGGAUGAAGGUGAAGUAAGUCGAAGAUACCAGCUGGCUGCAACUGUUUAUUAAAAACACAGCACUCUGCAAACACGAAAGUGGACGUAUAGGGUGUGAUGCCUGCCCGGUGCUGGAAGGUUAAUUGAUGGUGUUAUCGAAAGAGAAGCUCCUGAUCGAAGCCCCAGUAAACGGCGGCCGUAACUAUAACGGUCCUAAGGUAGCGAAAUUCCUUGUCGGGUAAGUUCCGACCUGCACGAAUGGCAUAAUGAUGGCCAGGCUGUCUCCACCCGAGACUCAGUGAAAUUGAAAUCGCCGUGAAGAUGCGGUGUACCCGCGGCUAGACGGAAAGACCCCGUGAACCUUUACUAUAGCUUGACACUGAACAUUGAAUUUUGAUGUGUAGGAUAGGUGGGAGCCUUUGAAGCAGUGACGCCAGUCAUUGUGGAGGCGACCUUGAAAUACCACCCUUUAACGUUUGAUGUUCUAACGAAGUGCCUGAAACGGGUACUCGGACAGUGUCUGGUGGGUAGUUUGACUGGGGCGGUCUCCUCCCAAAGCGUAACGGAGGAGCACGAAGGUUUGCUAAUGACGGUCGGACAUCGUCAGGUUAGUGCAAUGGUAUAAGCAAGCUUAACUGCGAGACGGACAAGUCGAGCAGGUGCGAAAGCAGGUCAUAGUGAUCCGGUGGUUCUGAAUGGAAGGGCCAUCGCUCAACGGAUAAAAGGUACUCCGGGGAUAACAGGCUGAUACCGCCCAAGAGUUCAUAUCGACGGCGGUGUUUGGCACCUCGAUGUCGGCUCAUCACAUCCUGGGGCUGAAGUAGGUCCCAAGGGUAUGGCUGUUCGCCAUUUAAAGUGGUACGCGAGCUGGGUUUAGAACGUCGUGAGACAGUUCGGUCCCUAUCUGCCGUGGGCGUUGGAUGAUUGAUUGGGGCUGCUCCUAGUACGAGAGGACCGGAGUGGACGCAUCACUGGUGUUCCAGUUGUCUCGCCAGAGGCAUUGCUGGGUAGCUAAAUGCGGAAGAGAUAAGUGCUGAAAGCAUCUAAGCACGAAACUUGCCAAGAGAUGAGUCAUCCCUGACUUUAAGUCAGUAAGGGUUGUUUAAGACUAAGACGUAGAUAGGUUGGGUGUGUAAGUGUAGUGAUACAUUGAGCUAACCAAUACUAAUUGCCCGAGAGGCUUAACCAUACAACGCUCAAG